GGGCCCGCACAAGCGGUGGAUUAUGUGGAUUAAUUCGAUGCAACGCGAAAAACCUUACCUGGCCUUGACAUGUACCGAAUUUAGCAGAGAUGCUUUAGUGCUCGUAAGAGAACGGUAACACAGGUGCUGCAUGGCUGUCGUCAGCUCGUGUCGUGAGAUGUUGGGUUAAGUCCCGCAACGAGCGCAACCCUUGCCAUUAAUUGCCAUCAUUUAGUUGGGCACUUUAAUGGGACUGCCGGUGACAAACCGGAGGAAGGUGGGGAUGACGUCAAGUCCUCAUGGCCCUUAUGGCCAGGGCUUCACACGUAAUACAAUGGACGGUACAGAGGGACGCCAACCCGCGAGGGGAGCCAAUCCCAGAAAGCCGUUCGUAGUCCGGAUUGUUGUCUGCAACUCGACAACAUGAAGUCGGAAUCGCUAGUAA
rnacentral:rRNA from 1 species